rnacentral:rRNA from 1 species
GACGAACGCUGGCGGCGUGCCUAAUACAUGCAAGUAGAACGCUGAAGGAGGAGCUUGCUCUUCUGGAUGAGUUGCGAACGGGUGAGUAACGCGUAGGUAACCUGCCUGGUAGCGGGGGAUAACUAUUGGAAACGAUAGCUAAUACCGCAUAACAACAGUUGUUGCAUGACAGCUGUUUAAAAGAUGCAAUUGCAUCACUACCAGAUGGACCUGCGUUGUAUUAGCUAGUUGGUGAGGUAACGGCUCACCAAGGCAACGAUACAUAGCCGACCUGAGAGGGUGAUCGGCCACACUGGGACUGAGACACGGCCCAGACUCCUACGGGAGGCAGCAGUAGGGAAUCUUCGGCAAUGGACGGAAGUCUGACCGAGCAACGCCGCGUGAGUGAAGAAGGUUUUCGGAUCGUAAAGCUCUGUUGUAAGAGAAGAACGAGUGUGAGAGUGGAAAGUUCACACUGUGACGGUAUCUUACCAGAAAGGGACGGCUAACUACGUGCCAGCAGCCGCGGUAAUACGUAGGUCCCGAGCGUUGUCCGGAUUUAUUGGGCGUAAAGCGAGCGCAGGCGGUUAGAUAAGUCUGAAGUUAAAGGCUGUGGCUUAACCAUAGUACGCUUUGGAAACUGUUUAACUUGAGUGCAAGAGGGGAGAGUGGAAUUCCAUGUGUAGCGGUGAAAUGCGUANAUAUAUGGAGGAACACCGGUGGCGAAAGCGGCUCUCUGGCUUGUAACUGACGCUGAGGCUCNAAAGCGUGGGGAGCAAACAGG